rnacentral:misc_RNA from 1 species
CCUUCUUCCCCCUUUUUCCGUAGGUGAACCUGCGGAAGGAUCAUUAUUGUAUAACCGAGGUGCGUGGGCUGUCGCUGACCCGAAAGGUCGUGCACGCCCGAGUGCCCUCACACACAUCCAUCUCACCCCUAUGUGCACCACCGCGUGGGUCCCCCUUUGGCUUGUUCGGAGGGGGGCUUACGUUUUCACACAAACUUUGUAUGCAGUGUAGAAUGUAUUUUUUGUUUUUGCGAUCACGCAAUCAAUACAACUUUCAACAACGGAUCUCUUGGCUCUC